AACCUAACAACAAGCCUAAACAUGCAUCCUACCCCAUCAACUUGCAUAAAACCUUCAUAAAACAUAAAAGAAGCAUGGAUCGAAGCUUACCUCUUGAAGAUCGAGAGGAAGAACGACCCUAGCUCGGAAAAUGGAGGGAUUUAGCUCCAAGACUUCCAAGCUCCAAACUUGCUUAACAACACUCAAAAACUUUUGUGGAACCUUAAAACUCAAAGAAAAUGGUGGGGAUUGAAGGAAAAACACAAGAUUUGGGAGAGGGAGGUCAGAAGCUCGCUGUGGCCUAAAAUGGGAGAAAACUCUCCCAUUUCGGCUAAGUGCCCCUUUUUAUAGGUGGCUGGCCAGGCCACGUUCGGGGGCCGAAGGUGCCUCCGCAUGCAUGCAAGGUUCGGCGGCCGAACUUGGAGUUCGGCGGCCGAACCUGCAUUUCCCUCACUCAAAAUUUUCGGGCGCC
rnacentral:lncRNA from 1 species